rnacentral:rRNA from 1 species
UACGUAGGGUGCAAGCGUUGUCCGGAAUUAUUGGGCGUAAAGAGCUCGUAGGCGGUUUGUCGCGUCUGCUGUGAAAACUCGGGGCUUAACUCCGGGCCUGCAGUGGGUACGGGCAGACUAGAGUGCGGUAGGGGAGACUGGAAUUCCUGGUGUAGCGGUGAAAUGCGCAGAUAUCAGGAGGAACACCGGUGGCGAAGGCGGUUCUCUGGGCCUGUACUGACGCUGAGGAACGAAAGCGUGGGGGAGCGAACAGG